rnacentral:rRNA from 1 species
ACUCAAAGGAAUUGACGGGGGCCCGCACAAGCGGUGGAGCAUGUGGUUUAAUUCGAUGCUACGCGAAGAACCUUACCUAGGCUUGACAUCCCGCGCUACCCCAUGAAAGUGGGGGUUCCCUUCGGGGACGCGGAGACAGGUGCUGCAUGGCUGUCGUCAGCUCGUGUUGUGAGAUGUUGGGUUAAGUCCCGCAACGAGCGCAACCCUCGUCGGUAGUUACCAGCAUUAAGUUGGGCACUCUACCGAGACCGCUGGGCUAUAAGCCAGAGGAAGGUGGGGAUGACGUCAAGUCCUCAUGGCCUUUAUGUCUAGGGCUACACACGUGCUACAAUGGGCGGUACAAACCGUUGCCAACUCGCGAGAGUGAGCAAAUCGUAAAAAACCGUCCUCAGUUCGGAUUGGAGUCUGCAACUCGACUCCAUGAAGCUGGAAUCGCUAGUAAUCGCGGAUCAGCACGCCGCGGUGAAUACGUUCCCGGGCCUUGUACACACCGCCCGU